rnacentral:tRNA from 1 species
GUAGCCUUAAGAUAUUCUAAAUCUUUAUACCUUUUAAGUAUAAAAAGCCUUUGCAGGUUAUU